rnacentral:rRNA from 1 species
AUGUCUUUCUUCCACUCUUGCCCAGUCGCCUUCAGAUGGCUCACAAGACUAACUCUCCACAACCUUGCAUUUGGAGACUCGGAUGUCCCCAAUCUCCUCAAUGCUUGCGAUAAGCUUCAGUUCCUUAACUUGAGAUGCUGCAAAUUGGGUCCGAAAUCUGUCCUCAGCAUAGACGCCCCGUCAUCAGAGCUCCAGAAACUUGAAUUGUUUUGCUUUGAGUGUGUGCGGGUUGAUCUAGCAAGUCUUCCUAAGCUGAAGCAAGUGCUCUGUGAUACUUGGUGGGCUGUGACCACACCUAUGUCUUGUGGCUUUGUUCCCCAACUUGAGAAAGUAAGCCUCGCCUCUGCUCUGUCUGGGCAGAAGCCAUUCACAUUGAGCAAGUGUUUAUCUAGUAGUAGUACAAGAAGCCUCUCGUCCUUGUGUCUGGAUUUUUGCUCUCAGAUGAUCUGGAUUCAACCGGAAGAUCCUAAACAGCUCACACGUAUAUUCAGUAGCCUUAGAGAUGUUUAUAUCUAUAAUGUCUUUGCUGAGUGUGAUUUGAAUUGGACAUUCUUUAUCCUUAAAGCUGCACCUUCACUGAAGAACUUCUAUUUAUCUCGACACUCUUGUGAACCCAACAAGUUUGACGAUAUUGCCAAAAAGACCGACUUGGUGUGGGAAACCUCCAGUUUCAAGCAUUUGAACUUGAAGCUGCUGUUCAUGAAAGGGUUUUCGAAGGAUGAGAAGGUGAUGAACUAUAUAAGACUUGUCAUGAAAAGAUCUAUGGGCUUGAAGAGAAUCGAACUGCAUGAUAAAGACCCAUGUGAGGAGUGCAAAGCCAUAUCCCCCGAGUGUUUAAGGUUUCCUGUGCAUGAAUCUAGCAAGCGUCGGAUUAAGGAGCAACUCACAUAUGGAUUCUCCUUAGAUGUGGAGAUAAUAAUGGGAUGA